CCGUCGCCGUCGCUGUCGUCCUCGUCGUCGCGGUCGCGGUCGCCGGAGUCACCGUCGUCGCCGUCGUCGUCGUGGUUACAGCUGGUAUCACCGUCACCACCGGCAUAGUCCUCGUCAUCACUGUCAUUAUCGUCAUCACCGCCGCCGCUGCUGUUACCAUUGUCAACAUCGUCACCGUCAGUCUUGUCCUCGUGGUCAACGUCCGUGCUCCUCUGCGUCGCUACUGUCGUUCUCCAUAUCGCCUCCUGCUUUGCCUGUACAUCUAUAAGGAAGCGUAUAUAAGCAAGCGUCGCUCAGCUCCCGAAGAAUUUAGACUCGCGAUACCGUGGUACCAGGAUGGCAGGCAACAAGAGUGCAAUCACCAUCAUGCAGACCAAGCCGGUAGAAGUGUCGCAGCAGCUGCAGGAUGGAGAGAAGUUUGUCAAGUGGGACGAGGAUUCUGGAGUAGCGACGCCGGUGACACUGAGAGUGGAUAAAUAUGGUUUUUACUUGCACUGGAUGGAUCAAAAUAAUGAGAUGGAUAUGUUGGACAUAGCCAUCAUAAGAGACACGCGAACAGGGAAACACGCAAAAAUACCAAAGGAUUCAAAACUGAAGUCUUUCGUGACAAUGGGUUAUCAGGACUCCUUAGAGGACAAAACCGUAACGAUCUGUUACGGCUCAGACUUUGUCAAUAUGAAUUUUAUUAAUUUCUGCACAACGCGCGCAGAAAUAGCACAACAUUGGACAGAACAACUUUUCCAACUGGCGUACAAUUUGAUUCAAUUAAACACUAGCACAACUAUGUUCUUACUAAAAGCACAUACCAAGCUUACGCUCACUGCUGAUAAAUCUGAAAAGAUACCAGUUAAGAAUAUAAUAAAAAUGUUCGCACAAAACAAAGACGACCGCAAGCGCGUCGAGAAAGCACUUGAUAUUUCUGGCUUUCCAUCCGGCAAAAGCGACGUCGUGCCGUUACAAAAAUUCCAAUUUGAAGACUUCUUUAACUUCUACAAGUCUCUUACUCAGAGAACAGACGUGGAGAAGGUUUUCGAAGGAAUUGUUGGCAAUAGCAAACGCAGACUGAUGUCUGUCUCGCAGUUUGUGGAAUUCUUGAACAAGACGCAGAGGGAUCCGCGCCUCAACGAGAUAUUGUAUCCGUAUGCAAAUGAAGCAAGGGCAAAGGAUAUCAUAAAUCAGUACGAACCCAACAAGUGUAAUGCAAAUAAAGGCCAGCUCAGUUUCGACGGUUUCUUGAGGUAUCUCAUGAGCGAGGACAACCCGAUUGUCGCUGUCACGAAAUUUGAAUUGUCCGACGAUAUGGAUCAACCGCUCGCGCACUACUUUAUAAAUUCUAGUCACAACACAUACUUAAUAGGGCAUCAGCUUACCGGCAGGAGUUCCGUGGAGAUUUAUCGCCAGUCUCUUCUAGCUGGUUGCCGAUGCGUCGAGUUGGAUUUUUGGAAUGGGAAAUUCGACGAGCCCGUUAUCGUUCACGGAUAUACAUUUGUACCUGAAAUAUAUGCCCGAGAUGUAAUAGAGGCGAUCGCUGAGAGCGCCUUCAAAACGUCUGAUUAUCCGGUCGUUCUCAGUUUUGAAAAUCACUGCAACCCAAGGCAGCAAGCCAAAAUCGCACAGUACUGUAGAGAGCUCUUCGGCGAAAUGUUGCUUGACGCGCCACUUGAGUCGCACAAGUUAGAGCCAGGUCAAGAGCUUCCACCGCCGGCGUUACUCAAGCGUAAGAUAAUAAUAAAGAAUAAAAAGAAGCAUCACCACCAUCAUCAUAAGAAGCAUCAAAAGAAGCAGCAAACGUCAGACACCGCUGAAGGCACUCCGGAGAGCGAGGAGAACGACACGGCGAUUCCAGCAGUUGCAGAGGAGAACGGCCAACCGCUUGACACGACGCAACAAAACGAGAUGGCCGACAGCGUCGUGCCGGGAAACGAGCAGCAAAUUAGAAACGGCGAUAUCUCCCACCCUCCGAUGCUGCAACAAAGACAGGGUAGUAAAGAUAGUGCCCAGGAUGAUGAAGACGAAGAGGAUGAAUCGAGCACAGAGGAAGACGAGUCUAAUGUGGAGGACAUUAAACUGAGAAUAGGUGAUAAAGUGACCGCGCCGGAUAAAGCGUCCGCAGCCAAGGAGACGGAAGCUGGUGCGGAAAUUUCGGCUUUAGUUAAUUACGUGCAGCCCGUGCAUUUCAACAGUUUUGAGUCGGCCGAAAAAAAGAAUCGCACGUACGAAAUGUCGUCCUUCGAUGAGAAGCAAGCGACGACCCUUUUGAAAGAGAGGCCGCUAGAGUUUGUGAAUUACAACAAGCAUCAGCUGUCUAGAGUUUACCCGGCGGGAACGCGAUUCGAUUCCAGCAAUUUUAUGCCCCAAGUAUUUUGGAACGCUGGGUGUCAGCUGGUUGCAUUGAACUAUCAAACACUUGAUCUGGCGAUGCAAUUAAACUUGGGGAUAUUCGAGUACAACCAACGUUGUGGCUAUCUGUUGAAACCAGAAUUUAUGAGAAGGAAAGAUCGACGCCUGGAUCCAUUUGCCGAAUCCACCGUGGACGGUAUUAUAGCGGGCAUGGUUCACAUUCACGUGAUAUCCGCGCAAUUUUUAACUGACAAGAGAGUAGGCACGUAUGUGGAAGUAGACAUGUACGGUCUGCCGGCGGAUACCGUACGGAAGAAAUUCCGCACGAAGAUCGUUCCGAAUAACGGCAUCAAUCCUAUUUACGAUGAGGAACCGUUUGUAUUCAAAAAGGUAGUUCUGCCUGAGCUUGCCUCGAUAAGAAUAGCCGCGUACGAAGAGUCCGGGCGCUUAAUCGGUCACAGGGUAUUACCUGUAGUCGGGCUAUGCCCAGGAUACCGACACGUCGCCUUGAGAACGGAAUGUGGGCAACCGCUACCGUUAGCGAGCCUGUUUUUACAUGUUAUCGUGAAGGACUAUGUCCCCGAUGGUCUCAGCGAGCUCGCCGAGGCUUUAGCAAACCCUAUCAAGUAUCAGAGCGAAGUGGAGAAGAGAGCGCAGCAGUUGUCGGUUCUUACAGAUUGUUUAGAAGCACCGUCGGAAGAAACGAAUGAGGAUAAGCUUAAAACUAGCGACGCUCCUAGUUCUUCUAAACCAGCUGAUGAAACUGUAAAGGCUAAACGAUUACAGUCAAUGGGCGAGUUACCAGGUCUUGUACCAGUUUCCAGUAGCUUACACGGCAGACCAUCCAUCGCCGGUUUGUGCAGUUCCGAGACAAUCGACAUGGAGGACGUUGCUCCAACCUCGUCAGUUCAAGUAGCCGACACAUCGAUAAGCAAAAGUCCAGUCAAUGCCAGCAAUAUGAAUGAUGAUAUAAUAGCCGAAAGUCUGGAAAAGCUCAUGGAAAAUAAGUUGGUCAGGGAGAAGAAGAUGGAGCUCGAGAAGAAGCUCGAAUCUCUGCGGAAGAAACACGAGAAGGAGAAGAUGCGAGUGCAGUCGCAGAAGAGCACGAUCGACGGCGAGAAGCACAAGUCCAAGUUCUACAUGAGCAACAAACUGGUGAAGCGACUGUCGAGCAAGAAUAUCAGUUUUUCGAGUGAAGUGGGUUUAAGCACCUUGGCUAUGGCUGAGUCUUCCGAGUGCCCGGACGUGGAGAAUCGCGAGGGAAACGAAGGGGUACCUAGGGGUUUGCCUAGAAGCCAAAGCGAGCGAUUUUUAGCUGUGUGCAAGGCACACGUUCAACAGGAGCGCGAGCUACAAGAGAAGUAUUAUGACAACCUGUUUGCGAUCGUCGAGAAAGUAAUGAAGGCAUCGCAGUCCAAUCAGUUGAAGACGCUUCGGGUGCUUUUAGAUAGAGAAACCGCAGAUGUCAUGCGAAAGCUACAGGCUACGAGACAUGGCGAGGUCAAACAAUUGGCCAAAGUGCACAAAGACAAAGCCGAACUGGAUCGUAUGAAGAGAGAAGUUGCGAAAUCGACUGUGGAGAAAGGCGUGAACGAAUGCACGCGCUUGACAAAGAUUUACGACAAGAAGAGAGCGGAAUUGGAAAGGCAGCAUGAAGAGGUGCGACUGAGGCUUGAAGAGGAGCGAGCCAAGGUAAAGGCUAAUUUGCUAGCAGAGUACAGUAGUCGCUAUAGCAAAUACGAGAGUGGCGAGUUACCUUUGUUACCUACCGGCGGAGCCAGCAUGCCUGAAUCACUCAGCGAGAACACGUAUUGACUCACGCUACGAGUCGUCUAGCUGUGUCGACUGAAAACCACGUCUCGGUUCGCGGCUCCCGCGUGCCACGUUACACGUGUCGCUCCAGGCAUCCCGUAUGCAACUUGUGCUUAUCUACAGGUGCUCGACAAUGAUAAAGAAGACGUUCUUGCAGUCUCUCAGCGGGGACGUCGAUACGAUGAGACAGGUGUGAGCUGUACCGAGAGAACGUGAUUUCGGGCAGCUCGGUGUAACACGAAGCACAGACGAGCAGCGUUUUACGUAUGUACGAUAUAAUUGUAUGUAUAUACCGAACUUUUACCGUUUAAUACUUCAAGAGAUUAGAUGGUCGAAUAAUGGAUCGAGGUAAUUUUCUAUUACUUCAAAACGCUGUGUCUUUUACUACAAUGAUCAUUAUUCGAUCGAUGCGAUCGCGCGUAUGUGUUGGUCGGUAUGUCUUCGAUCGAUCCUGUCGCUAGACACGCGGAACGCGCCGUGUCUUGAUCUCUUUACGAUGAAACGUCUGCUUAAUAACGCGGGAAAGCAUAACGGGAAGAAGGAAGGUGAGGGAUAUACAAUGUCAGACUUUAACGAUAAGUCUGAGAUACUUGGCACAGUAUUAAGCAGUCUGGGAUUUCGGGAUCUGAAAAAUCGGCAUUCGACGUUGUCGGUUACGUAGCGCGGUAACGACGGUAUCGUUCCGUGAGAGAUAUACGCGCGAGUGGGUGUAUAAUUCUAAAUAAGAGCAACUUUCCUAAGUGCUAACGUUUAAUAUUGUUGUUAUAUGCAUAAGGCGUUAUUUAAUCGAUUACAAAACUAUUUCUAAUCACGUUCCACAAGAUACUCCGUUUACGCGGUAAAUGAAAAAAUUGAUCUUCUCGACUCUACUCCGUAAGUCUCAGAUCUCAGGAGAUUCCAGUCAGAAUGAUAACAAGUAUAUCGAGAGGGUGUAAUCUCUUUGGCCUAGAGGAGAAACAUUGGAAAGUGCUGAGAGAGAGAGAGAGAGAGAGAGAGAGAGAGAGGGGGGAGGAGAGAGAGAAAUUCGCACGAACGCACGCGUGUGCAUGCACGUACGCGUACGCGCGCGAUAGCGAUCUGAUAUAUAUAUAUAUAUAUAUUUUUGACUGAAAGUACUCCGUAUAAAGUAAUUUUUUUCCGGAGUUGCCCGUGCUAUAUAGGGAGGGCAGGGGGAGGGGCGGAGAAAUACUGAGACAUUAUAUUUCGCCGCGGGCGCGAGAAUAUCUCAGUAUCCUACCGUGUAUAGAGCGGCUCUUGGUAUCCCGAACGGUCCGGUCGGGCAAACCUCUUUGAGGAAGACAAUCAAAAAUGUUACGAGGUAACAUUGUCCUUGUUGUUUCUAAUCGUAUGUUAUUUUAGAUUAUAUGCACUGCAAUACGUGUACACAGAUAUCUGUGAAGGGAUUCUUCGUAAUUAUAACGAACUUAGGGUUAAAACUUGUCGCAAUGUAAGUCUGUACCGUGUAAAGAUCCGCUAUUUAUUCGAAAAGGAAGAAAAAGAGACGCGUUGAUUUAACGAAGCCCAGAGGUACGCGAGGUGUACGCGAGGUGAUUACGCGAUUGCUUGGCGGAACCAUCUGGCGAUAGUCGCGCGCGCGCGCGAAAAGCGAUAACGUAAUCAAAGAUGACUUCUUAUACAGAAUAUUUAAUAUUGUACACAUAUACACAUGUAUAUCUAUACACAUAUACUUAAACAACGCGCGCGGUUAUACAUACAUUUCAUCGCGAUUUAUAUUAUUUAUUUUGCGUUGGUCGAGGGAUCGCACGCGUGCAUCCAACAUUUCGGUAUAGAGGCUGAACCGUUCGGAUUUUGUUCGGAGCCACUGACGGUUCGAUCCAUCGUUAAACAUUGGCGAGUCAAGCAAAAAGUGAUUUACGAGUGAUCUCGUGUGUGGCAUUUAUCGCGUUCGUUGAAAAGACGCUUUUCACUUGCGCGUUGUAUCUCACGUCAAGUAUAUUCUUUCGCUGCACGUACUUACAUCGACAGUGUUCCGCUUAGAUCUGAUUGACAAGAAUUACCGAUUACGUUUACGUAUUCACAUAGACGCAAAAGAACUUGGUGCUUAUCCGCAGUUAUUAAUCAAACUCGCGACUGAAUCUCGACACAGAUUAUAGUACAGUUCGAUGUGACGAAUUACAUUGAGCGCUUACAAAGCACAAAGGAUACGUAUCCAUCUGAAUUAUAUUAAUCAAUUUGCGCGCUUUGUAGUUGUUUUAUAUAACUUGGGUGAGUUCAUUUUUUCUAGCUCUUUUUGAAAUUAACUCGGUAGAAUCGCGAUAUAUUUGACGAAGUCUCUUGAUUUCGUGAAAUUGAUCAAAAUCUUAUAAUUGUUUGAAGAAAAUGGCUUCUCUUUAUACAUAUAUGAUUUAUUACGUGCAAUAUUAGUCUAAUGAAUGUCGCGUGCGAUGAGAAAUCAACUCAAAUUUACUAUUAUUCUAUUGUACAAUCGCGUUGUUGUGCUUGUCGCAUUAUUUUCGCAAGUUUUGCGGACGACGAGCAGAGUAAAUCUCUGGGGGAGUAAGUAGCGAUUACCGUUCCAGUUUUUUCCAAUAAGUCGGAGGGAGAAUGAUCAAUUAAAAUAGAUACAUUUAUUAUUGUUGGCGAUAGUGCAUCUCGUAAAUAACGUAAGAAAACGAUAGAUCCUGAAGAAAGUUGUAUCCCGUGCACCUCCCUCGGAUAUAACGCGAGAUUUCGUUCGUCCGUAAGAUAUCAGGAGUAACGGCAUUUGUAUUUCCUUUCUAAAUAAUCGUGACGCUGCCGCGUGUUUUGCAGGAGAGAGUAGCUGACACACUAUUGCGUAUCUCGCCGGUAGGCUUAGGAUUUACACGCGACACACACGGGUUCAUCGCGUUGUACCGCAAAGUUACCAUUUCUUAGUCGAUGUUAAUUUUCGUGGUUGCAUUUCCUCCGCAAAUGAAGUUACCGAUCGUUCGUGAGGUUGCUUUCCAUCGCGACUGACGCAGUCUGAUUUUCUCUUUGCCGAUCAGAGUUGACAGAUCGUGGCGAUGAUAAUGACAGCGAUGGCGAUAUGAAUAUAUUCGAGGCAACUUGUUAGUAGCUCUUCCGUCUGGCACGAAGAAUCCGAUAGUAUCGUUUAUGCAUUAAAUGCGCGACGUUUCUCGCGGAAUUUGGCCAGGCAUUUCGUGCUCGAUCAAGUACGCAGGUCCUUUGCGACAAGUCGGGCGAGUUCCGUGGUGAUGGCAAUGCGAGGAAUCACGCUUGAGCGUUCGUAAAUUCCGUCGCGUACUAGAUUCCUAGAUCGUUGUCGAUGGCACAUUCUCUUUCCAGUGUUUUGCAUAGUGAUAAAUUUAUUUCGGGUCUCCUCUUUUCGACGUUGGUUUACUACGCCUGUAAGUUCUUUCAAUGUUUCGCCUCUCUAGAGAGGCACGUAUUUUAGUGUGAUCGUUGCGUUACCUUGCGAACGUGCCUCUCGAAUAUUAUUAUGCGUAUUGUGUAUUAUAGAGAGAGAUACGUAGAUCUUGGUUUCUCUCGGUAUCGCUUAGAAUCGAAGAUCCGCCGACUUCUCGUAGUAUAUUUCGUUGCUCCGAGCUCUACAUGCUGUCUCGUCGAAGCCGAGGAGGAGAGUCGUUGUGGCGCGCACGAGACAAUUGGAACAUAAGCGACGCGAGUGUCGGGCGGAGAGCAGUGGUAUGUUUCCGGUUAAUAUUAGUUUGCGUUUCUCCUAUGUUCCGCUCUAUGGUGUCCUCCGCGUCACCUUUCGUCGCGGGCCUCGUCGUUCUCCGUUACCUAAUUAGUCACUUGUCGCGCGCACACAGUGUGAUCUACCUAUGCAUUUAUGUCUUUCAAUUAGACCGGAUCGGCGCUGUGUAUCCUGUCGGAGAUCCUUUUCGCAGCGUGUGUGAUCGCCGUACGGAUGUCGCAUACUUUGCUUGAAAUAUGGUUAUCUCGGCGUCGUUCUUUUCCUAUACAUUCGUGUGACGUACGCGUAUGUACGUCACACACCACACACACACACACACACACACACACACACACACACACACACGACAGAUAUAUACACACGCACACACACGUAUGUAAAUGUAUAUACGAGCAUAGAUUUACGUUCUAACGAUAUAGAUAUUAUAUUCACGUUGAUAUAUUAUGUGUUGUUGCUGUUGAUGUUGUUAAUCGUAGGGUAGCGAUACAAAGUGGGUAGUGGCUAGCGUGUAAUCAUUGUUAAUAGGAACUACGGGGAAUUAGAGAGAAGCACAGAGAGAAGGGAAGCAGAGAACGAGCAGCAGUUGUACACGUUGCACUGCACGACGACGAGCACGUUCGCGCGCGGAUUAUUUAUUAUUGAUCCGCGGUCGAUCGAUCUUCGGACGCGUGCGUCGCGAUGUUACCAGUUUAUUGUACCUGCGAUCUCGUCUGCCUUUAACCACCCUGGCGCUGCGUUGCGCUCGGAUGUCUCGUUCGUUCGCUUUCUCCCGAAAGCGAAGAGAGUCUCGAGGAGUCUCUUGGAUCACCUCCUGACCUCCAGUCAGCGGAUUUAGGAUCCUCACUUGUCUGUCUCCGAAGCACCAUGGUGGUUAACUUCAGCGACCGGUACCUCUCGCGAGGGGUGCCAGCACUCUGUAAUGCUAUAAGAUUUGCCAAAUAGAUAUUUAUAGAACACGUCGGAGCGUCGAAGAUCUCAUCGCCGAUCCUUGUAACGGAUGUGCUCGUCGUCCCGGAAAUAAGAGCGCGGGGAGAUAUCUACAGGCGUAUGUUAUACAUAUAUAUAUACAUAUAAGGUAUGUGUAGUUUGAAACGGCCUACAAACGAUCGUAGCAAUUCGGCUCAGCUAUGUAUUAUUCCUUUUCUCUUUUUGUCGGUUUCGUUUUCCGACGACGUCGUACUGAAACUCGAAUUGCAGCGUCUAAGCGGCCGCCGUCGAUAUGCGAUCGUGCCGGGAGCGCGCGAUGCUUCCCGCACGCAGCAGGUUUAUCCGUUACAUAAGGUCUUCCGCCGUCAAGUCUGCUCAUCUGUCUCGCGUCCUUCCAUCGUCAAUCCUUUGAGCUCAACUAUAAUAACAAGGAUCUCCUAACAACGACUCUUCGUACCUGAACACUACAGUCCCGGCACUGCGCGUCCUCCAUCGAUUCUGUCGAAGCAUCGAAGUGAGCGAAAGUCCUCCGACGACACAUCGGAUCACAUCUACGAAGAGAGAAUCAAACAGAAAACAGAGCAAAAAAAGAAACAACGGUAGUCUCCUUAGCGCUCUCGAGAGAAGGGGGGAUAGAUUCCGAAGUAUUUUCUGCGGGACUGGCGGUCGAUUAGGCUGCGUCAAUAGAUCGAAGAGAUAUUACGAAUUCGUUGCGAUUGCUGCAAAUAUACCGCGCGACUUUCUGCCGCUUGCAUGUUCAGUUUCUCUUUUGACUCGUCAGCGACGUCCUCUCGCUGACACUCGAACCGACAAUGAAAUAGAGUAAUUCUCGAUGUACAUAAGAUGCAACGACGAUAUUCUUUUGUCGAAAUUCGCAGGGCGCUUGCGUAUUGCGGUUCUGAGUUGCUUACUUACUGGAGAAACACUCUCCGGUAUUCCGAGGAAAUUUGCCUUAUGACACGCGCGAUCGCGCGCUGUCAUUCAUUCGAUGCUUGAUUCGAUGCUGUCGAUUGUUAUAUUGCAAAAGUUAUACGCGCGGCGGAGCGUACCGUUAUUGAGCGCGCUCAAUCAGCGCCGCGCGGGUCUUUAUGUUCAACGAUUCUACAUCCGCUUCGUGAUCGAGAGCUUGAUUAACAUCGUAAUUGCGACGUAGUGUCGAUUUUUGCGUUUAGAGCGUUCGCUAGGUGUGUGUCUACAUGAGUGUGAUUAUUCGUAAGUAAGGUGGUAGUUAGCGCGCCGAGGCGAAGGAAUAAGGAGGAGGGACAAACUCAGCGAUUGAUUGUGUAAUUGUAGUUAGCAGUCGAUAGUGUGGGUGUAAAUGCCUGACGUGAUGUUACGUGUAGUAGUGCGCAUAUACACAGAUGUAUACGUUGUUCAGGUUUGUAUCGAAAGACUAGUAGUUGUGUCCCCCCCCGUACAAAUGAUUUCGUCUUCCCUCUUUGGCGACUCGAUCGACGUCGUGUCGUGUCGUGUCGAUUUCAUUCAGCAGCGUCGCCGUCGUCGCGCUUGACGACAGGACUCCGACUGUGCAAUUGUCUUACCGAUGCCCUACGUUAGCUUGUUCCGUUGUUCCGCACCUUACGCAUUAUGCAACUAGGACAGCUUUACUUUUAUUACUCGGUAGUCUCGUUUGUAUAUCGCUCGAUCGUAAUUGCAAUUGAUUCCGUUUAUCGUUAAGUCCUACUUUUGUUUUUGUAAAUAGUACAGCAACGAGAGAAAGAGAGAGAGAGAGAGAGAGAGAGAGAGAGAGAGAGAGAGAGGAGGGAAGGAGAGAUUAUAAUGAUUUGUUGUGUUCACACAUUUUGAUUUUCGUGUCCUGUCUUCCGAUUCUCCUCUUCCGCAUUCCAUGUUGAACUUUGAACUUAGAGAGGUAUCAGUCGAUAUCGUACGAUGACGUGAUACACUUGGCAUGAAUUCUUUGUUAUUAUGUGAUCGUUGAUAUCAAUUAGGAGGCGUUAGAAUCUCGAUUAAUUUAUUGAAACUUAGUGACGUUAAGUAUAAUUGGACGAUUAUCUUGUUUGUGUGUAUAUUUAAUUAUCCGAGUCUUGAUUUUAUAAUUAUCAGUCAUUGUACGUUGCUUUUUCUUUUAUUUUGCGAUGAUUCAGGGGUCAUGUUCUAAAUUCAACGACGAACUUUCUCGGAAUGAAAGUAGCUUGAUGAUGUCGCAGUUAAUGUCGUAUUAUUCGCGUGUUUUAUUUAUCUUACAUAAUGAACGAAAAUUGUUCACGUUUAUUAUUUAGAGAUUUCACACUCACACAGUUUUGCCCCAUUUAUCGUUAAUUAUUAAUUAUAUAAUCACUUAAUAGUUUUGUUAAUUUUUUUUUUUAGAAAUUCAUCGUGUCGCGCAUACAGUAUACGUAUUCGAUGUUUUGGAGUCUCGAAGGUGUAAAGAAAUGAUUAAUCGCGGCACGGAGAUACACGUGAACGCGCGAAUAUCCGAGUUAAAAUUUAUGUCGGUAUUCAUAGUUCAUCGUUACUUGACAAAUCAUCAUAGUUUCGUGAAUUUUUCGUCAGCCUGUGUUUAUUUCACACGUGAAACAUCAAUCCACGGUGAAAUAAUGAUUUAUGAAUACAAAUCUGUGAUUGAUUUUAAAUAUAAAAUUAUGCAUAAUUCAUCACUGUGAAAUUAUAAUUUAUGCUCUUAGUAUUGUUUCUUGGAAAUUUCAAUAUAAUUUGAAGAUUCAACAGGAUCGAAAGAGAAGGCAAUUGCGUAUUCAUUAAUUUUCCGCAUCAAUAGAAAUUUAAAUCCGGAGAGUCGGUACAAUAACAAUGAAUCGAAGUGAGAAGAUGGCGUGCUCAAGGUAAAACAUGUUUCAAGGAGCAUGUUGUUAGAGAAACAAAUCUCAGCACUUGCGAGACUUGGGUUGAUACUCAUAGUUGCAAAUUACUUACGAUUUUCGAUCGAGAACAUAAUCAAUUGCAGAUUCGUAUUGCAAGUUGUUAUUUGAUUGUUUGAUUGUCAAUUUUUCUCGCGCGAAAUAAAUAUUACCGAUUUAUGAAUAUAAUUAUAGAGAUUCAUAAAAGUAUGAUAAUUUAUCAAAUAACAGCAAACUACGAAUGCCAGCUUCAAAACAGAUUCUAAGUUUCGACUCGGGUCGGUAGAAAUAAAAAGCUCGUCCUGUGCUGUUAGCAAUAGUUGUCGAUUAAUCACGUCGGCGAUGUCUAACUAUUAUUAUAUAUAUAUGUGUAAAUCUCGCGAUGUCUCGAUCUUAAUCGCGACAAGAGGAACGUAAUGGGAAAGAAAGAAACGAUUAGGGCAGAGACUAGAAUUUAAUCCAAAAAUGAUUUCUCUCCUCUGACUCACUUGUGCCUUGCCCUCGAUCAUCCUUCGCUGUUCUGUAUCCAGGUAUCCCUCUUUUCUAAAUAAUCGUCUUCGAUGUUCGAUGUCCUUUCUACGAAUAAGAGACUACCAAGUGAUCGGUACAUUAAGAAGCGUGCUCCGUUUGCCAUAAUGAUAUUAGCUCGUAAUCGAUAAAUGUAUACCUAAUAAUCUUACAAUUUAGCCCUUAAAAUUCAAAGCGACCGCUAAAGCAUUCGGAUCGCAGGUAUUGUUGGAUCUCGCCUUCGAGAGAUUGCAUCCAGAACAUUUACAGAUAUAAUGCUCACAAUAAGUGUCCGCAAUUAUUCCGUUACGAUCGUCUAAUCUUCGCGGAGUUACCCUCCGCUUGUCUGUCUCGCGAAGAAAUCAGUUUUCGGAUAAUCAAAAAUCGUGGGCGAGACUCGACGUUCAUCGGAUCGAAUGCUUUGCGGUUUUCGCGGU
rnacentral:misc_RNA from 1 species